CCACCCGGCCUCUCCCUGGGGGUGUGGCCGCCCUCUGUUUGGUUAUGUCCCGGAUGCGCCCUGAGGCAUGCCUCUGAUUGUUGCGUUUUUGAGGGGUUUGGAGUGGGUAGGGGCCCUCUACUGUGCUGGAGUCGCAUUUCCUGAGGCCAUUUCCUGAAGCUGCUGGCGCCCCCCGGGGCAUCUUCAAGGCUGAGCUCCCAGCAGGUGCCUGGUAGCAAGGAUCACCACCCACUGCAGGAACGUGGGCGUGGGAAGCAGCACUAUCAGAGAACUGCAGGCCUUCUUGCUCCAGCCCAGCCUUGACUUCUGCCGAUGGUACACUGCCAGGGAGGGUUGGCCACUGCUCACCUGUCUGGGAUCCCUUGGCCUCGUUUUGGGUCCUGUGGCUGAGG